UUACUUGUGUAUACAUUUUGUAUGUUCAUUACUCAAAAAAAUAAUUUGGAGGAAAACCCUAUUAGCAACCGCUGCUUCUAAGUGGUUCUCUUCCCUUUAUUCUUUCUCCUUUUUUGUACUUUCCAACGUUUCUGUAAGGAGCAGAAAACACUGUCAUAAUCAGAAAAGGAAAGGAUGACUAUGAUUUCUAAAGAUGCUCAAGACGUCAAGCCUUAGAACCCUGCUCCUUGUGCUUCGGCUUCAUCUUUCUCCAGAACACAGCUGGCCCGCUCCCGGAAGGCCUGUUCAAGACUGGGGCAGAACAUGGCUUUCCUCAUUGGACCCUGAGACAAGGAGAUGCCCUCUGGCCCCAGAGAGCACCCCAGUAAGACUGGCUUAACAUCCACAGCGAUUGCUCAUUUCCAAAGCGACCGACUUUUCAUUCACGUGAUAAGCCAUGUUCCUUUGGAGCUAAAGGGGAUAAAGAUGAGAUUCCCUCCUCCCCGCCCUCCAAGAGCUCACAGGUAUAUGGAGAUAAAUAGUCAGUGAUGAACUGUAACAGACGUAUUCAGAGGGUGAUCGAGAAGCGUCCGUUGAUGCUCGGGUGGGUUCAUGCUGCACGUGAAUGACCCGGGCGAGCACAUGAUUAAGAUGCUGCUGGCCUUGAUCGUUAUUGCUGCUGUUUUAGUCGCUCAGUCAUGUCUGACUCCUUGCAACCCCAUGGACCAUAGCCCACCAGGUUCCUCUGUCCAUGGGGUUCUUGAGGCAAGAAUACUGGAGUGGGUUGCCACGCUCUCCUCCAGGGGAUCUUCCAGACCCAGGGAUCGAACCUGAGUCUCCUGCAUGGCAGAUGGAUUCUUUCCUGCUGAGCCACCAGGCAGGCCUUUAAUAGGGGCCCCUAUAAACCAUGUGCUGGGGGUAUGGGGAAGAGAAAUAAGGGACUUGGAUCAUUAUUUUCUUUUCUUCCAUUUAAACAUCAUCUGAAGUCUGCACUGGAGUCCAAGGACCUGGGGUGCUCUCCUGGGAUUUCUCAAGGCUUCGGUUAGCCCUCAAGUCCCAUCUUUCAAAGGCCAAGUGAUUUGGUGGCUCCCUGCCCUCAACCAGAUCCCCCCUCCUCCUCCGCCCUGCCCUGACUUCCCAUCAGGGGAGGCAGAGAGGAGGCGGCUGUUGCUUCCCAAGCCUCCACCUCCUCCUGGUGCCCUGCGUGCCUGCCUUCACCCACAGUCAUGCCAGCUGCCCGUGUGGGAGGCUGCGCACCUCACACUGGUCUAAGCAGGAUGCUUGCAGGGCCCCGCUAGGCUCCCCCUCUCCCCGCUGGGUGACCCAGCACCCGGGGAGGCUGCAGUGCCCAGGCUGCGGCCUCACGCAUGCCCUCUGUUCCCAGGCCCUGUUGCCCGCCCCACCCUGGCAGGUGGCCCAUCGUGGUUGACCAACAGUGGGGCCGUGACCCAUUUCUUCCUCCUGGGCACAGGCAGGGGCAGAAGCGGGGCUGUGGUCUGCCCCUCCAACUUCCUGGUUGCCAGCUCAGGCGCCCAGAUGGAGCUGCCCAACAAUUGCCUCUGAAAAAACCAACAGGCUGGUAACCAUCACCUCAUUACCAGCAGGCUGAGCCCAUGUGGUGCAGAAGUCCCCAGGAGGCUGACCAGGGAAACCUGUGGACCAUCUCACCUCCACGGAGUGACUUUUCCCGUUAACUCCCAGACUCCAGGCCAACUGGAACCUGGCUCAUUAGUGCUGUGCAGCCAAACAGCAGCUGGGGAAGAGGUCUCUCUGGUACACGAUUUUCUUUCUCUCUCAGCCACAGAACUUCCUCCAAGGAACAGGCGCUCAACCUUCCGUUCUCAGAAGCAAAAACAAGCCGAGUCACACGUUUCUAUGAAUUCGCUCAGAAAGCCGAUGAUCAGUAAUAACACUAAACACGAGCGUCAGACUCAUCACAGAUCUCACCUGGAAGGGAGCCUCCCAGAGAAGAGGGGAGCUCCCGUCUCAGCUAAGUCACCAUCUCAGCGGGGACAAGGAAGAGGAGGGUGUCGUUUGUCUCUUGCAAAGAGUACAGACCAGGGCUCAGGAAGGUCACGGUCUUCUCCCAGCCCCACCGCCCCGCUGUGGCUCAGGCAGGGCUUACUCUGCAAAUGGGAAACCGAAAGCUCUGGGCCAGAGGGUUCUUAGCUGUCAUGAUGGGGCCCAGGUUUGUGGAUGACCGAUUGAAAUGAAGUGUUUCUACAACGGGAGUGGUACCUCCAGCAGAUACACUGACUCCUCCCAGUGCCUCCCAAGUUGGAAAUAAGAAAGGAACCAAUUUUCAGCGGCCACGCGUCAAGUGCCGUGUGGGGGUCCUCCCACCCGCUCUGAAACAGAAGCAGCUUUGAUGGGCUCCACAUACAGGGUUAUAGACUUCUAAGAUGCAGGCCUGUGAUCCUCUGAUAUAGCUCUGACAUUUUACAGAGAGGAACGAUCCCUGAACAUCUCAUGCAGAAAGAUGAGUUAAGACAAGGUGUCAGUACCUACUCCCUUAGAACAAUGGAAAAGCCCCGCCCCGAGGAUGUCCUCUGUAGUGACCCCCCCAACCCUGUAAGUUCUGUAAGGGUCCGUGGCCUUAACUUCAGAACAGCCCAGCGCUGACCCAGCCCUGCCGUUCUUUCUCACUCCCACCGAAUGUCUCCAUUCUCCGUGCCCGCACGACAACGUGAGCACGGUGUCAAGCCCUGGCUUUAUUAUUUUUUUUCCCCUGUGUCUUUUCUCCUUCCAUUGGUUUAGUGUGUGUGUUCUCUUCCCAAUUCCUGUUGCAUAACGUCAGAAUUGGUGCCAGACCUCUAUAGACAAGGAUUUGCCAAUAAGGGUGCUUGCAAUGAGACUGUGUCACUGUAUUUGGAGAAAUUAGGUGACCAGAGAGUUGGAUUUCAGUUCUAACGGCUGGAAAAGAUCCACGAGGUGCAGAACAAUGGGCGCAUUUAUCCGGUGGUGCCAGAGAACCCUAAACUGGGCUCAGAAGACACAGCUAUAAACCUUCAGGAGACCAUCCCAUUCCAUCCCAAACCGUCGGUUCUCACGGAACGGCGGGACGCCAGUGACAAUGAGCCAGUCGAGGUACACUUCUGUCUGUGAGGCGUGCUCCAUCAUGACAGCUUCAGGAAGGCUGGGUGAGGCUGUUCGGGAGAAAUUCUCUUCUUCCUCAAGUGGAGUGGGGUAAUCACAGGGAACUCCACAGGAAGUAGAUUCCCCCAGAGAGGUGAAUAGAUACCAGUGAGGGGGAAAAUGAAUAAAUAAUACUCGGUGAGAUUUGCAAUUCUGGAAAACCAAAACGCAAAAUACACUCAGGGCUGGCAGUGGCGAGGCACCUAUCCAAGUAAGAGCGUUACUUUUCUGUCGGAUUCCUCAGGGUGUUUUCUUAGAACAGGAGGAAAGUAACAGGAGUUCUUUUGGUCACCAAUAAGCUGUUUUAUGUAUAUUCAGAGGGGCUGACGUUCUUAUUGUAUCUAAGAGGCAAUGGUGUGCUUGUGCCUGGAAGAUACUGCAAAGAAGCUCAAAAAGCUACUGCUUCAGUGGCCUUUUGCGUGUCCCCUGGAGCUACUGAAAGAGAGUUGCAGCUUGUGCAUAAAAACGGGAGGAUGGACAGACAGACAGAUGAAUGAACAGGCAGAUGGAAUGAAACGUAGCGGGCCACAGUCCAUGGGGUCUCAAAGGGUUGGACGUGACUGAGCGGCUGAGCACACUACCCAAGUAACACAAAGCCCGACACGGGACAAGCUUUCACUGAGUAAAGAUCUGACACUUAAUGAUUUCAGUCAGGGUCAACUGGUCACUCCCUUUCAAGACUUAGGGAAACUCAGGGUCCCCUUACAUACUGGGGUAUUCCUUCCUUCAUCAAGACCUAGGGAUUCAAAUGCAUCAUCAGCGUCUUCAUGCCACACUGAGGCAUAUGAGCAAGUCCUUGGGGGUAAUUUCAGGGUCCCCGCUCCUCAAGAUGGUUUCUGAAAAUCCUGCUGUUGGUAGGAUGAAAACCUAAAGUGGGCUGGAGGCCGUGAAGGAAAGUGGGCCUUCUUCCAAGGCUCACAAGGAAGUCCAAAGAAAAACCCCAACACUCUUGCUGACGACCUCCCCAUUCCUGGCUCAGCUGUCCCCAGCAGGAGAGGUGUCCCCAUGGCCUAAAUCACCAUGAGUCCCUCAUUUUCAAGUGCUUUAACCUCAGAGCCCCCAUAUUCGUGGAAAGAUGACACAAAAGGAACAGAGUUAGAACUAAAAAAACAAGUCAGGUGUGCACGUGUUCAUUUUGCAGAGAGACCUGUCCUUCCCUUAGUGCAGGUUUCUGUUUGAAUCAACCGAGAAGACGAUAGUUUAAGGCAAGGCGAUUGCCGGGGUUGCCACUGAGAUCAUCACCGUCCUCUAGAGGAAAAGAGCCCGCAGACUGUGUCUCACUAGCUCUUUGUGCCCGGAGACAGUUCUGUCCCUCUUGGCCAAAGCCUUUCUGUAAAGUAUGCUGACUUUCCUACUCUCUCACUGUGGUCCAAUUUGAGUCUAUUCCACAAGCUUUCCCAUAGGAGCACUGGAAGUCGGGUGCUGGUUGGAGGAGUUUGCUUGAACCAGGAAACAGAGGUGAAACAUAAGACCCCCUGGGUCAAGAUGCUCUCAGAAUCAUGAGGGAAAACAGAGAGUCACAGGGCAAUUACAAAAGACUCGAGGAGGGGCAGGAUCCUGGUGAUGAAAAUGGUCUGCAUCUUGAAACCCAUAAACCUAUGCAUGUAAUAAGAUUGUAUUCAAUUUCUUCCAGUUGCAUGUGAAUCUGCGGUUGCCUUGAAUUUUUUAAAAAGUCAAACAGAUACGGAUAAUUUCCACACACAGUUACAGACCUCAUGCCAGUAUCGGAGCACUGAGUGGAAAUACACCAUCUCGCUUGGAUUAGGGAGAAGCAGCCAAAGAAGGUCUCCCUCAGAAGGGGACCUCAGCACAGGUCAUUUGGCUGUUGAAGAAACUGGAGCACUCGUCCUAAGCAGUUGCCCAUAUUCCGGAUGUGAAUGACUGCUUCUCCGUGGGGCUCAUUUCUCUCUCCUCUGUUUCGUGAUAGCAGUAAUUUGGCACCAUCGUCAGACUCACUGUCAUCACGUUUCUACCCCAUGGUCCCAGCGUCAUUGGAAAGGUGGGCGUGUGGACAAUCGAGUGCUAGCUUCUGGAAGUCUAAUUCCCCCAUCAUGUAACUUAAAACCAAGCCUUUCCUCCCCGCCACGUAGAACAAGGACCGCAAUCUGCCGUUGGCACUCAGGUUGGGAAAGUGAUUCUGGUACAAAGACAAUGCAUGGACUUGUGCAAUGGCCAAGUAGGGCCGGCCCUGCAGCUGCCCUCAGAGCAGGCGGCUUCUGGAAACAGACCUUUUUGACGGUAAGCCCCAAUAAAGCGGGUGGGUGUUAUAUUAAUGACUAGACUCUUAGUCACCUUGAGGGAACCGAGAUCAGAUGACACCAGGACGGUGGAGGGAGGUGAGAUGUUUGCAGUUUAGGCUGCAGAUGUGAGCUUAAUCUCAGGAGUAUUUUCAUGAUCGCUCUGAUGCUUGGAUGAAAUGCCUCACAUACUGCUUACUAGGCUACCAGAUGAGAGGCAGGGAUGAAGUGAGGAAGCCCAAGCUAAGCUAUUUGCCUGAAAAAACCUAUCCUCUGAGAAGGCCAGGAAAAGGGAUAUACUUCAUCCUUAAAACAAAAUCUUCACUCUUCAGAUCGGCCUGUGCAUUUUAGAACUCCAAAACAACCCACGAACAGACCACAGCAUAUCGUGUGUGUGUGUGGGUGGGUGGGUGUGUGUGUACAUGUGUUAGCUGCUCAGUCAUGUCCAACUCUUUGCAGCCCCAUGGACUAUAGCCUACCAGGCUCCUCUCCAUGGAAUUCUCCAGGCAAAAAUAUUAGAGUGCGUAGCUUAGCAAACACC